GUGGGGAAUAUUGGACAAUGGGCGAAAGCCUGAUCCAGCCAUGCCGCGUGUGUGAAGAAGGUCUUCGGAUUGUAAAGCACUUUAAGUUGGGAGGAAGGGCAGUAAGUUAAUACCUUGCUGUUUUGACGUUACGGACAGAAUAAGCACCGGCUAACUUCGUGCCAGCAGCCGCGGUAAUACGAAGGGUGCAAGCGUUAAUCGGAAUUACUGGGCGUAAAGCGCGCGUAGGUGGUUUUGUAAGUUGGAGGUGAAAUCCCCGGGCUCAACCUGGGAACUGCCUCCAAAACUGCAUGACUAGAGUACGGUAGAGGGUAGUGGAAUUUCCUGUGUAGCGGUGAAAUGCGUAGAUAUAGGAAGGAACACCAGUGGCGAAGGCGACUACCUGGACUGAUACUGACACUGAGGUGCGAAAGCGUGGGGAGCAAACAGGAUUAGAAACCCUUGUAGUCC
rnacentral:rRNA from 1 species